rnacentral:tRNA from 4 species
UCCGGCAUGGUGUAGUGGCUAGCAUUUCCGCCUCUCAUUCGAAGCUUUACAGCUUCAAUCAGGUCGCGGGAGACCGGGGUUCAAUUCCCCGUACCGGAA